AGAGUUUGAUCAUGGCUCAGAACGAACGCUGGCGGCAGGCCUAACACAUGCAAGUCGAGCGCCCCGCAAGGGGAGCGGCGGACGGGUGAGUAACGCGUGGGAAUUUUCCUCAAGGUAGGGAACAACUCAGGGAAACUUGGGCUAAUACCCUAUGAUGCAGAGAUGCCAAAGAUUUAUCGCCUUGGGAUAAGCCCGCGUCAGAUUAGGUAGUUGGUGGGGUAACGGCCUACCAAGCCUGCGAUCUGUAGCUGGUCUGAGAGGACGAUCAGCCACAUUGGGACUGAGACACGGCCCAAACUCCUACGGGAGGCAGCAGUGGGGAAUCUUGCGCAAUGGGCGAAAGCCUGACGCAGCCAUGCCGCGUGAAUGAUGAAGGUCUUAGGAUUGUAAAGUUCUUUCGCCUGUGACGAUGAUGACGGUAACAGGAGAAGAAGCCCCGGCUAACUUCGUGCCAGCAGCCGCGGUAAUACGAAGGGGGCUAGCGUUGUUCGGGAUUACUGGGCGUAAAGCGCGCGUAGGCGGUUUUGCAAGCCAGAGGUGAAAUGCCUGAGCUCAACUUAGGAAUUGCCUUUGGGACUGUGAGGCUUUGAGGACGGAAGAGGUGAGUGGAAUUCCCAGUGUAGAGGUGAAAUUCGUAGAUAUUGGGAAGAACACCGGUGGCGAAGGCGGCUCACUGGUCCGUUUCUGACGCUAAAGCGCGAAAGCGUGGGGAUCAAACAGGAUUAGAUACCCUGGUAGUCCACGCUGUAAACGAUGAGUGCUAGGCGUCGGCAGGCUUGCCUGUCGGUGCCGCAGCUAAC
rnacentral:rRNA from 1 species